UUUGAUCCCUGGCCCCACUCAGUGGGUUAAGGAUCUGGUGUUGCCACAAGCUGUGGCAUAAGUUUCAGAUGCAGUUCAUAUCCAGCAUUGCUUUGGCUGUGGUGCAGGCUGUCAGCUGCAACUCUGAUUUGACCCCUAGCCUGGGAUCUUCCAUAUAUCUCAGGUGUGGCCCUAAAAAGAAAAAAAAAAAAAAGGAUGCAUGCGUGAACUGAGGGGUGGGAGAGGGAGGUUUGUGGGUAAGGGUCUGGGUACACUUUUUGGUUUGACUACUUAGCCCACUGACAAGUACAUACUCCUCCCCGCACCCCAAUUGAGAAGUAUUAGUUUGUUUGCUAGACUUAGCAUCAGGAGGUAGGCUAGGUUAAUAAUUAAAGAUGGCAGACAUCUUUAUCUUCCUUCAUUCCCAACAUUUCAUGAUGAGAGCAAUGAAUUCAAAAAUGGUGAAAACCAACAACAGAAAAAAGAAAGGAAGAGAGAUCACGAGUGGAUGAAACAUCCCAAUAAUUUCAGCAAGAUGGCAAACAGUUGGGAAUGUUGAUGGGUGAAAUAGAGUAGAAGAGGGGGAACUGUUAAGGGCAGACAUAGGGCUGUCAGUGGGGGAGGCCUUGGACUUGGGACUUGGCACAGCCCUGGAGAGCAGCAGAUUCAGAGUGGCCAGGUAUGGCAAAGGCAGAAGUGACAAGUGGAGCUGAACCUGAGGGGUCGAUGCAACCCUUUCCCCUGGGGAACCUGGAGACCAUCAGUUUGUGCAGCUGUGUGCUCGCCCAGGGGUGAAGCCCCUCUCCUGGCUCCCAGCUUGCUUGCCACAAAGUGAAGCAACCCACUCAAGAUACAAAUACUGAUAGAACUAUUAAAAGCUGAGAAGGGAGUUCCCACUGUGGUGCCAAAGGACCGGCAGGGUCUCUAGAGCACUGGGGUGUAGGUUCCACACUUGGUCCAGCAGAGGCUAUGGCAUAGGUUGCAACUGCAGCUUGGAUCUGAUCCCUGGCCUGGGAAUGCCGUAUGCCAUGGGGUGGCCAAAUAAGGAAAAGAAAAAAGUAAAAUAAAAAACAAUCCAUUGGGAGAAAAAAAGAAUUUUUUUUUUUUUAACAACUUAAGAAACAAAAGUUGGGAGGAAUAGGGAGCAGGUUGGGAGAUGUAGCAAUAAGUGGGCUAAAUCCUCUCCUGUCACAGCAUGCGGUCUGAAGUAAUCAGGAAAUGGCAGAACAAGCAUAUUAUUUUGUGAUGUGUGGAUGUAAUCAGCAGGGACAGUGGUCGUCCCUGAACUGCAGAACUGGCCGAGGGCUCCAGCUGGGUGCAGGGCUGGCCUUGUCGUUCAGAGCCCUUCUGUGUUACUUGAUGUUUUUAAAACCCGUGCAUGUGGUACAUUUUUUUCAAAAUAAAGAAAAAGAAAUAAAGACUUGAAAAUAAAUGGAAGUGGAUAUUGAUUCUGUAGGAGGGAUUCCAGUUGACCAUGAAAAGGAGCUUCUGAAUGCCAGUAUGGCUCAAACCCAGCUGGGGUAUUGGCGUGGCUGGGAAGCUCUGGGGAUGUGCAAGCCCCAGGCUAUUCCUGCCUGUCUGGGCUGCAGUCCGCUCCAGCCCAGAGCAGGGAGGAACCACAUGGACUCUGGGGCCAGAUUUUGACCCGCAGAGGUUGGAGGAGCUAAAGCAUGCAGCACCUCGGGGUCUCCUCUCCCUCAGGAGAACUGAGAGUGGCCCUCAUCCCUCCUCUGAGCUCUCCCCGGACUGCUGCAGAGGCUGAGGAUCAGGCUCCACUGAGCUCUUCUUUUGUCUUUCUUCUCCUUCUUCCUUCUCUCCCUCCUUCCUUUUCCUUCCUUCUGAAGAAUAGUUCCAUUUAGACUGCUGACAGCUGUCGUUUUUGGAUCGAAGCAUUAUUCUAAACUGGGAGGUAACCGCCUGUGUUCCAAUCCAGCCUCAUCUCCUGCUCCUGAUGCCUCUCUUCCCACUCCUGGGCUCCCUCAGCAUCUUUUUUUUUUUAUUAUUAUUAUUAUAGUUGAUUUACAAUGUUCUGUCAAUUUCAGCAAAGUGACCCAGUCACGCAUAUAUAUAUAUGUUCUUUUUCUCACAUUAUCUUCCAUCAUGCUCCAUCACAAGUGACUAGAUAUAGUUCCCUGUGCUACAUAGCAGGAUCCCAUCCCUCAAGUCACCUGACAGCUGAAUCAGUGGUUAAGCAGGUAAUAGCCCCGUGGGAAUCACACUUCAGAACUUCUGCCCUGUGUUCCUAUAGCUCUAAUUGGGUGCCUCAGAUCAUAGUUCUAAUGUUUACUUUGGGAAAGAGGGUCAUGAACGGAGCAGAGGAAACCAUGGCUAGGCUAGACUUUAACCUCUUCUCAUUCAUCCUGAGCUGUGAGGGUUUCACUCCUUCUCCUACUGGUUUACCCUUUAUGGUCUGAUGACUUACUUAUUUUCUUACAGCUCUGAGGCUUGGCUGGGGCAUGGGGCCCCACGCUGGACCUUCACUUGACAUCUCAGCAUCUUUUCAGCCUGUCUCAGCUCUUUGGCAAAAGUGGUAAAAAGAGUCCUCUUUAUCAGAAGAAAGAUCUUCAUGACCACUCCAAUUUCCCUGCUUCCCUCCUCUCCAAACUUCCUCUUCAUGUUUGUUAAGAUU
rnacentral:lncRNA from 1 species